GUGGUUGACGAGGGCCGAGUGAGUCAGCCGGUAGAGUGGGGGCUCCGUUUACAGGCUUUGUUCCAGGUGCGUACUCAAAAACGCUUUAAAUUACUCACACGGUGACAUGGAGCCCCUUAUUGACAACCACAGGGGCAGCGUGUAGUGGCGUUCGCUAAGUGCUGGGACACACAAGGGCAGUAAAUACCAGUGUCAUCUCUGGGAGACAACAAAAAGAUAACAAUACAACAAAUGCAGCAGAGAUGAGGAUUGUACUCCGUAUUGACACUCCAACUGCAGCAGGAAGUGAGUCCAUAUAUCUGCUGCGCAGGAAACGGGCCCUUCAGCCAUCCUGUCCACCACUUCAAUACUACAGGUGUUGCUAAUGAUUUCACAAAACGACCGUACCGAGCAGCAAAUACAGAGGGAAUUACAGUAUUAUCAUGGACGUGGACAAUGACCACUUCACUUCAUGAAGAAAAAGAGAGGCUUCAUCGUCGAAUAACGAGUAUAUGCUCCUGUUGCCAGUCCUUCCUUCGCAGCGCUGUGGAGAUAGGUCUGGAAAUGCGAGACUAGGU